rnacentral:rRNA from 1 species
GACGAACGCUGGCGGCGUGCUUAACACAUGCCAGUCGAACGGAAAGGCCCUGCUUUUGUGGGGUGCUCGAGUGGCGAACGGGUGAGUAACACGUGAGUAACCUGCCCUUGACUUUGGGAUAACUUCAGGAAACUAGGGCUAAUACCGGAUAGGAGCUCCUGCUGCAUGGUGGGGGUUGGAAAGUUUCGGCGGUUGGGGAUGGACUCGCGGCUUAUCAGCUUGUUGGUGGGGUAGUGGCUUACCAAGGCUUUGACGGGUAGCCGGCCUGAGAGGGUGACCGGCCACAUUGGGACUGAGAUACGGCCCAGACUCCUACGGGAGGCAGCAGUGGGGAAUAUUGCACAAUGGGCGGAAGCCUGAUGCAGCAACGCCGCGUGCGGGAUGACGGCCUUCGGGUUGUAAACCGCUUUCGCCUGUGACGAAGCGUGAGUGACGGUAAUGGGUAAAGAAGCACCGGCUAACUACGUG